rnacentral:lncRNA from 1 species
UCACUAAGGGAUUGACACCAAAAGUAUUUCAUGAGCAUAUUGCUUUGUAUGGGUGUCAAAUCAGAUAAGGAUUAUGUAUUUUAGUGGGAGUUUGUAUUGUAUUGUAUUGUAUUGUACAUUUAUGUAUUGUUCAUUAUAUUCAGAAAUUCAGUAAUUCAGUUAUAUCUGCAGAUAUUCAGUUUUAAAGUUUUUGUACUCUUACAGU